rnacentral:rRNA from 1 species
GAUGAACGCUGGCGGCGUGCCUAAUACAUGCAAGUCGAGCGAACAGAUAAGGAGCUUGCUCCUUUGACGUUAGCGGCGGACGGGUGAGUAACACGUGGGUAACCUACCUAUAAGACUGGGAUAACUUCGGGAAACCGGAGCUAAUACCGGAUAACAUUUGGAACCGCAUGGUUCUAAAGUGAAUGAUGGUUUUGCUAUCACUUAUAGAUGGACCCGCGCCGUAUUAGCUAGUUGGUAAGGUAACGGCUUACCAAGGCAACGAUACGUAGCCGACCUGAGAGGCGGGUAGGCCGCCCGGGAACUGAGCCGCGGUCCAGACUACUAGGGGAGGGCGCAGAAGGCAACGUGCGGCAAUGGGCGAAAGCCUGACGGAGCAACGCCGCGUGAGUGAUAGCGAGUUUCGGCGCGUAAAGCUCUGUUAUUAGGGAAGAACAAACGUGUAAGUAAAUGUGCACGUAUUGACGGUAACUAAUAAGAAAGCAACGGCUAACUACGUG